CAGCCGCCGCGGUAAUACGUAGGUGGCAAGCGUUGUCCGGAAUUAUUGGGCGUAAAGGGCUCGCAGGCGGUUUCUUAAGUCUGAUGUGAAAGCCCCCGGCUCAACCGUGGAGGGUCAUUGGAAACUGUUAAACUUGAGUGCAGGAGAGAAAAGUGGAAUUCCUAGUGUAGCGGUGAAAUGCGUAGAGAUUAGGAGGAACACCAGUGGCGAAGGCGGCUUUUUGGCCUGUAACUGACACUGAGGCGCGAAAGCGUGGGGAGCAAACAGGAUUAGAUACCCCCGUAGUCCCUGUCUCUUAUAC
rnacentral:rRNA from 1 species